AAGGUUACUUGCCUGACGCACCGUUGAUGUCUCUUUAGUAACUGUGAAUUCUAGGCAAGAUUAUAUCGAUACAUAGAUGACUUAUGACUACUUUCAUGCGAAACUGAUGAUUUUAGAAAAGAAAAAUUUUAGUUAGGAAUCUUGUUGCUGUGAAUUGUCAAAUCUUGGUCAUAAAUAUGGUUGCAAAGAGAAAAUUAAGACAAUAACACAUAACCUGAAACUAAAUGGGAAGGUUACUCGCUUGACGCACCGUUGAUGUCUCUUUAGUAACUGUGAAUUCUAGGCAAGAUUAUAUCGAUACAUAGAUGACUUAUGACUACUUUCAUGCGAAACUGAUGAUUUUAGAAAAGAAAAAUUUUAGUUAGGAAUCUUGUUGCUGUGAAUUGUCAAAUCUUGGUCAUAAAUAUGGUUGCAAAGAGAAAAUUAAGACAAUAACACAUAACCUGAAACUAAAUGGGAAGGUUACUCGCUUGACGCACCGUUGAUGUCUCUUUAGUAACUGUGAAUUCUAGGCAAGAUUAUAUCGAUACAUAGAUGACUUAUGACUACUUUCAUGCGAAACUGAUGAUUUUAGAAAAGAAAAAUUUUAGUUAGGAAUCUUGUUGCUGUGAAUUGUCAAAUCUUGGUCAUAAAUAUGGUUGCAAAGAGAAAAUUAAGACAAUAACACAUAACCUGAAACUAAAUGGGAAGGUUACUCGCUUGACGCACCGUUGAUGUCUCUUUAGUAACUGUGAAUUCUAGGCAAGAUUAUAUCGAUACAUAGAUGACUUAUGACUACUUUCAUGCGAAACUGAUGAUUUUAGAAAAGAAAAAUUUUAGUUAGGAAUCUUGUUGCUGUGAAUUGUCAAAUCUUGGUCAUAAAUAUGGUUGCAAAGAGAAAAUUAAGACAAUAACAAAAGAAAAAUUUUAGUUAGGAAUCUUGUUGCUGUGAAUUGUCAAAUCUUGGUCAUACCUAAAUAUGGUUGCAAAGAGAAAAUUAAGACAAUAACACAUAACUUGAAACUAAAUGGGAAGGUUACUCGCUUGACGCACCGUUGAUGUCUCUUUAGUAACUGUGAAUUCUGGGCAAGACUAUCGUCUAUAGUCUAUACAUACGUGACUUAUGACUACUUUCAU